rnacentral:rRNA from 1 species
AUUGAACGCUGGCGGCAGGCCUAACACAUGCAAGUCGAGCGGAUGAAGAGAGCUUGCUCUCUGAUUUAGCGGCGGACGGGUGAGUAAUGCCUAGGAAUCUGCCUGGUAGUGGGGGAUAACGUUCCGAAAGGAACGCUAAUACCGCAUACGUCCUACGGGAGAAAGCAGGGGACCUUCGGGCCUUGCGCUAUCAGAUGAGCCUAGGUCGGAUUAGCUAGUUGGUGGGGUAAAGGCUCACCAAGGCGACGAUCCGUAACUGGUCUGAGAGGAUGAUCAGUCACACUGGAACUGAGACACGGUCCAGACUCCUACGGGAGGCAGCAGUGGGGAAUAUUGGACAAUGGGCGAAAGCCUGAUCCAGCCAUGCCGCGUGUGUGAAGAAGGUCUUCGGAUUGUAAAGCACUUUAAGUUGGGAGGAAGGGUUGUAACCUAAUAACGUUGCAAUUUUGACGUUACCGACAGAAUAAGCACCGGCUAAC